AUGGUGCGAAGCUACCAUCUGAGGGAUUAUGACUGAACGCCUCUAAGUCAGAAUCCCGCCUGGAAAGCGACGAUGCAUUCGUGCCUCGGCCUCGAGAGGCGUAGCUAGACGGCCGCGUGGCCGUGGAAAGAGCCCGAUUCCGACCCGAGAGGCCGCGGCAAGAGGCGGCCUCGAAGUCGGUGGAUCCUCCUGCUCGAAAGGCGGGGUGCUAAACCAUUCGCAGACGACCUAGUUGAAGAUCGGGGUGUCGUGAUCACUAGAGCAGUACAUCUCACUGCGAUUUGUUGAGAGUAAGCCUCAAGAUCUGUCGGUUUGU
rnacentral:ncRNA from 1 species